rnacentral:rRNA from 1 species
UCGUUGAGUGCAAUGGCAUAAGCCUGCCUGACUGCGAGACUGACAAGUCGAGCAGAGACGAAAGUCGGUCAUAGUGAUCCGGUGGUCCCGCGUGGAAGGGCCAUCGCUCAACGAAUAAAAGGUACGCUGGGGAUAACAGGCUGAUACUGCCCAAGAGUCCAUAUCGACGGCAGUGUUUGGCACCUCGAUGUCGGCUCAUCACAUCCUGGGGCUGGAGCAGGUCCCAAGGGUAUGGCUGUUCGCCAUUUAAAGUGGUACGUGAGCUGGGUUUAAAACGUCGUGAGACAGUUUGGUCCCUAUCUGCCGUGGGUGUAGGAAUGUUGAGAAGAGCUGACCCUAGUACGAGAGGACCGGGUUGGACGAAUCUCUGGUGGACCUGUUGUGGCGCCAGCCGCAUUGCAGGGUAGCUAUAUUCGGACGGGAUAACUGCUGAAAGCAUCUAAGCAGGAAGCCUCCUUCAAAACGAGCAUUCCCUUGAGAGCCGUGGAAGACCACCACGUUGAUAGGCCGGAUGUGGAAGCGCAGCGAUGUGUGAAGCUGACCGGUACUAAUAGCUCGAUUGGCUUGAUCGUUCUCAUUU